rnacentral:rRNA from 1 species
GGCGCACGGGUGAGUAACACGUGGGUGACCUGCCCCAGAGUGGGGAAUAACUCCUCGAAAGAGGGGCUAAUACCGCUUAAGCACAGUCAUUCGGUUCAUUGAGUAAAGCUCCGGCGCUCUGGGAGGGGCCCGCGGCCGAUUAGCUAGUUGGUGGGGAAAUGGCCUACCAAGGCGAUAAUCGGUAGCUGGUCUGAGAGGACGAUCAGUCACACUGGCACUGACACACGGGCCAGACUCCUACGGGAGGCACCAGUGAGGAAUAUUGCGCAAUGGGCGAAAGCCUGACGCAGCCACGCUGCGUGGAGGAUGAAGGCCUUCGGGUUGUAAACUCCUUUUCUGGGGGCAGAGACAAGGACGGUACCCCAGGAAUAAGUCUCGGCUAACUACGUGCCAGCAGCCGCGGUAAAACGUAGGAGGCUAGCGUUAUCCGGAUUUACUGGGCGUAAAGCGCACGCAGGCGGUCGUGUAAGUCGGACGUGAAAGCUCUCGGCUCAACCGGGAGAGGUCGUUUGAUACUGCGCAGCUUGAGGUUGGGACAGGGGAGCGGAAUUCCCGGUGUAGUGGUGGAAUGCGUAGAUAUCGGCAGGAGCACCAGUGGCGAAAGCGCCUCC